rnacentral:tRNA from 1 species
GUUGGGGUGGCAGAGUAGGCUAUUUUGCAAGAUUUAGGCUUUCCUUAUGGGGGUUGAAAUCCUCUUCCUAACA